rnacentral:rRNA from 1 species
AACACAUGCAAGUCGACGAAGCAGUUAUCACGAUCCCUUGGGUGACGAUUGCUGACUGAGUGGCGGACGGGUGAGUAACGCGUGGGUAACCUGCCUGUACAGGGGACAACAGUUGGAAACGACUGCUAAUACUGCAUAAGCGCACAGUGUUGCAUGACACAGUGUGAAAAGAUUUAUCGGUACAAGAUGGACCCGCGUCUGAUUAGCUAGUUGGUGAGGUAACGGCCCACCAAGGCGACGAUCAGUAGCCGACCUGAGAGGGUGACCGGCCACAUUGGGACUGAGACACGGCCCAAACUCCUACGGGAGGCAGCAGUGGGGAAUAUUGCACAAUGGGCGAAAGCCUGAUGCAAGCGACGCCGCGUGAGCGAAGAAGUAUUUCGGUAUGUAAAGCUCUAUCAGCAGGGAAGAUAAUGACGGUACCUGACUAAGAAGCACCGGCUAAAUACGUGCCAGCCGCCGC